rnacentral:lncRNA from 1 species
CUUUCAAGAUCGUUAGCACAACGAUUAAUGUAAAAUGUAGCAUGCACUACCUACGAAACUUAUGAGAAAUUAUUUCUUUAGGGAAAUAUGUUGGCAACCGCCCAAUCAAACUCCGUAAAAGCACAUGGAAAGACAGAAGUAUUGAUGUUGUUAAAAAGAAAGGGAAAGAAAAGAAGAAGCUAGGUUUAAGAUAACAUCUACAGGAGGACAGGAAUAUUGAUAGUGUACUUGCAAUAUACUGCAUCGUAUUCUGGCGCUAUGUACAGUAAUAUAUAAACAUCAAGUAAAAAUUACAAAUUAACCCCCAACUUUAAGGUGCCAGAUCAGCUCCCAAAUUGGUGUUAAAGUAACAUUUGUUAUUUAGCAUCGCCAUUCACAUGGUGUCAAUUUAACACUUUAAUAUGAAUGUGAAUUGUGAAAACAACAAACACUAUCUGCUUUUAGUCAGGCCUUAAAAUAUAGGUCACAGAACCGUCUGACAAAAUGUUCGAUGACUUUUGAGUGUGGGUCGGACAUAUGUAUUGUGAUGUCAGAUGACUUUCAGGAUUUUUUCAGGGAUUUUUAGGGCCGUUAAACGGCCCCAAAAACUCAAUCUUGAAUUGAGUUUUGAAACUCAAUCUUCUCACCAAAGUUUCAGUGCAGUAAAAAUGAAGUUGUUUGAGUUAAAUUCGUGACGUGUGGAAAUUAGUUUUCAGUUGGAAACCCGACAAUUAAAAAAAAAUGGCUGGAAUUCAUCUCACAACACAAGAAAAACUAUGCAUUCGCCAUCUUUAACCAAUUUAUAGUGUCCCUUAGUGCCCCUGCUUUAACACAUUCCGUCUCAACUACAUUUCAUAUUGAGUACAGGUGUCAGCCCCCCGGUAGGGGGGGGGGGUACAGCCACCCCAGUUGUUCAGCUAAACUCAAUCUUCUCUGCAAAAACGGAC